rnacentral:rRNA from 1 species
UACGUAGGGUGCGAGCGUUGUCCGGAAUUAUUGGGCGUAAAGAGCUCGUAGGCGGUUUGUCGCGUCGACCGUGAAAACUCGCAGCUCAACUGCGAGCCUGCGGUCGAUACGGGCAGGCUAGAGUUCGGUAGGGGAGACUGGAAUUCCUGGUGUAGCGGUGAAAUGCGCAGAUAUCAGGAGGAACACCGAUGGCGAAGGCAGGUCUCUGGGCCGAUACUGACGCUGAGGAGCGAAAGCGUGGGGAGCGAACAGG